rnacentral:rRNA from 1 species
GACGAACGCUGGCGGCGUGCUUAACACAUGCAAGUCGAGCGGUAAGGCCCUUUCGGGGGUACACGAACGGCGAACGGGUGAGUAACACGUGGGUGACCUGCCUUUAGCUCUGGGAUAAGCCUGGGAACUGGGUCUAAUACCGGAUACGACUCCGCGGUGCAUGCUGUGGGGUGGAAAGCCUUGUGCGGCUGGAGAUGGGCCCGCGGCCUAUCAGCUUGUUGGUGGGGUGAUGGCCUACCAAGGCGACGGACGGGUAGCCGGCCUGAGAGGGCGACCGGCCACACUGGGACUGAGACACGGCCCAGACUCCUACGGGAGGCAGCAGUGGGGAAUCUUGCGCAAUGGGCGAAAGCCUGACGCAGCGACGCCGCGUGA